AAGCAACAAAUUUCCUCAGCUGACCUUGUGGCAUGGGCUAACUCUGCAUUGAGCUGACAGUUUGCUUUCCAGGACCUACAUGACACCUGAGUUUUACAGGACUGUUCCGUAAAAGGUUGCACUAAGGAGAUGCUUUGCAGAAGAUUCUAUCCUUGGGUAACUAUUCCUGCUUGGCACUUCUCCAGCUGCAAGGGUUGGGGGGGUCACAUAAGAGAGUAAGUUAAAUUGCUGAGUUUCCCACCAAGACUGCCAGAGGUGAAAGGAAAGAGGUUCACUUUCCCCACCAGAGGAUAGCUGGGUGUCCACCACCACUAUGCCACCCAAAAAAUA